UUGGAGGAUUUCUACUUAAGGGAGAAAAUCUGCGACAGCGACGCCUUUGGUCAAGGGGUGUCAUAACCAAACCACGAUCAGAAGAGGAGGACGUCCGAAAAUAGCCCUAUAGUAAAUAUUUAAGAUGUUCAAAUCUAUGGCAACAAUCAAGAGGUCAAUUCUGGAUGAAACAAUGAGAUUUACACUUUGAUGAUGGACACGGGGCACCCAAAUGUCACCAGUCAUAACCGGGCUAUUAAUGAAAACAGUUGUGACUGCCUGGCACCAAUCAACCAUUCCUGGAUUCCUGACUGCUUAACAGGUUGGUGAUCGUACUCACACACGCGCACUCACACAUGCGCACACACACAAACACACGCACACGUAUGCACACGUACGCACACAGAAACACACGUACAUAGACACAGAAACACACGUACAAAGACACACAGAAAGACAUGUACAAUCACACACACACACACAUACACACAC